AGGAAGCGUGGAAGAAGGAAGAACUGCCGAAGCUGCCGAAGCAACGUUCGCGGGAAGUCUAACCGCCUGAAGCACGUUGCAGAGUCGAGACCAGUUGAGCGGCCGGAAUUUUACGAACGAUUAUGCAAGCGUACGUCUUGAGGACGACCAUGAGCCACAUAUCAUCUCAAAUUUCUGCCCGUCAAGCCUUGUGACGAAACGGAAUCGGACUUCUUCAAGGCGCGGAUCCUAAAGUUGUUUGGAUCGCAGAGUGACGCGGAAACCCAGUGACAGUAAGCGGGUGCUAGUACCUCCGACGAGAUGAGUGACUGCCCGGGAGGGUUGGAGGAAGCUUGUGUGAGACAGCUGGCCCGAACCAGGCCAAUCAACCCGCUGGCCCGAGCCCGGCCCGGGCCCACAGUCAAAAGUCCGAGCCCAUCCCAGGCCUGGGCUUUCGGCUCAGCAAAGUCUGUGGAUCUGGUUAUGCUUCCUGUACGAGACAGAUCACGAAGCGGUUGCUGACUGACCAGUUGGGGCGAAAAUUUUUGUGGGAAGGACGCAAGAGAAAGUUGACAUUCAGGAACCUUCACCUUGCUGAGUGCAUCAUAAAUGCAGUGCAGAGCUGCCAUAAAUGUGAAGACUUCAAGGUAGAAACCAUGGUCACGGAUUAACUUCGCCACGCACCUGCCUGACAUCAGUCAUCUCAAAUGGAACAUUCUGCACCACAGGAGAUAGAGAUGUGAACUGCCUUAAGUGGGCCUUGAAUGUGCUGAGCUUUUUAUUAUGUUUAUCAGACAUUUUUUUUAAGCAAAGUAUCCUGCAUUGUUUAGUAAGUAUACUUUAUUUUGAAAACCUCAUGCUGUCUAUGCAGCAUUGUUCAAAAAUUAUACUUUAUUUUAAAAGCAUCAAGCACUGCUCGUCUGUCUAACAGUAACAAUAAAGAGUUAAUGGU